UACACGCUGUGACUAGCAUAUCAAUAAGCGGAGGAAAAGAAACUAACAAGGAUUCCCCUAGUAACGGCGAGUGAAGCGGGAAGAGCUCAAAUUUGAAAUCUUAAAGGGUUUCCCUUUACGAAUUGUAGUUUAAAGAAGUGUUUUCUGUUGAGGUUUUGGUAAAAGUUCUUUGGAAUAGGACAUCAUAGAGGGUGAGAAUCCCGUAUUUGACCUUUACUUUCAACUUUGUGAUACACUUUCAAAGAGUCGGAUUGUUUGGGAAUGCAGUCCAAAACGGGUGGUAAAUUUCAUCUAAAGCUAAAUAUUGGCGAGAGACCGAUAGCGAACAAGUACCGUGAGGGAAAGAUGAAAAGAACUUUGAAAAGAGAGUUAAACAGUACGUGAAAUUGUCAAAAGGGAAGCGUUUGACGCCAGUGUUGUUUUUCUGAAAAUCAAUUAAAGAACUGUUUAUGCUAAGCUGUUUAGACUUUAUCAGCUAACUGUUUAGUUUUGAGCAUUUCUUUAAUGCACUUUUCAGUUAACAAGUCAACAUCAAUUUCUUUUGCUGUAAAAAAGCUUGAGGAAGGUGGCUUGAGAUUCGUCUUAAGUGUUUAUAGCCUCUUGCCUAUGCAGUCGGAGAGAUUGAGGUCUGCAGCGUAGAUCCUUCGGGGCUAAAUGCAUUUGUGCUAAGUUAUAGCAUUUUAUAGACAACUUGUUGACUAUGAUUUGUCUCGUAGCUUACUCGCUUAUGUUAUUUUACCUACGCUUAGGAUGUUGAAGAUGUAGCACAUCAU
rnacentral:rRNA from 1 species